rnacentral:rRNA from 1 species
GACGAACGCUGGCGGCGCGCUUAACACAUGCAAGUCGAACGGAAAGGCCCUGCUCUUGUUUGUUGUUCGAGUGGCGAACGGGUGAGUAACACGCGAGUAACCCGCCCUCUACUUUGGGAUAACUCCAGGAAACAGGGGUUAUUACCGGACAGGAGCUCCCGCUGCAUGGUCGGGGUUGGAAAGUUGCGGCGGUUGGGGUCGGACUCGCCGCGCAUCAGCUUGGUGGUGUGGUAGUGGAUUAGCAAGCCUUUGACGGGUAGCCGACCCGGGCGGGUGACCGGCCCGAUUGGGACGGGGCUACGGCACAGACUCCUACGGGAGGCAGCGGUGGAGAAUAGUGCACUAUGGGAGGAAGCAUGAUGCAGCGACGCCGCGUGCGGGAGAACGGCCUUCGGGUUGUAAUCCGCUUUCGCGUGUGAAGAAGCGUGAGUGACGGUACUGGGUAAAGAAGCACCGGCUAACUACGUG